UACGUAGGGUGCAGGCGUUACUCGGAAUUACUGGGCGUAAAGCGUGCGCAGGCGGCUCCUUAAGUCAGAUGUGAAAGCCCCGGGCUUAACCUGGGAACUGCGUUUGAAACUGGGGAGCUAGAGUGUAGAAGAGGGGGGUGGAAUUCCCGGUGUAGCAGUGAAAUGCGUAGAGAUCGGGAGGAACAUCUGUGGCGAAGGCGACUGCCUGGACCAGCACUGACACUGAGGCACGAAAGCGUGGGGAGCAAACAGG
rnacentral:rRNA from 1 species